rnacentral:sRNA from 1 species
UUGAUCGGGACUUAUGAAGUGGAUAUGCGUAUCAAUGGCACCAGCUGUUGCUAUAAGCCCUUCCCCUGCAUAAACCUCUGUCCCUACGCCGAUAAUCAUAUCCUGAUCGACGCCAUCCAUACUAUUCGGAUUGCCUGCUUUGCCGAUACCAAUAAUUCGGCCAUCUUUAAUACCGAUAUCAGCUUUCACAAUACCCGUAUAAUCGAUAAUGAUGACGUUAGUAAUGACUGUAUCUAGCACACCUUCAUUGCGUGUGUUUUUACCAUUUUGCCCCAU